GAUGGUUAGCUGGUCUGAGAGGAUGAUCAGCCACACUGGAACUGACACACGGUCCAGACUCCUACGGGAGGCAGCAGUGAGGAAUUUUGCGCAAUGGGGGAAACCCUGACGCAGCAACGCCGCGUGAGUGAUGAAGGCUUUCGGGUCGUAAAGCUCUGUCAAGUGGGAAGAAACCACGAGGUGAUAAUAUCGCUUUGUGCUGACGGUACCACUGAAGGAAGCACCGGCUAACUCCGUGCCAGCAGCCGCGGUAAUACGGGGGGUGCAAGCGUUAUUCGGAAUCAUUGGGCGUAAAGGGCGCGUAGGCGGUUUGUUAAGUCAGAUGUGAAAGCCCGGGGCUCAACCCCGGAAGUGCAUUUGAUACUGGCGGACUUGAGUAUGGGAGAGGGAAGUGGAAUUCCUGGUGUAGAGGUGAAAUUCGUAGAUAUCAGGAGGAACACCGGUGGCGAAGGCGACUUCCUGGACCAAUACUGACGCUGAGGCGCGAAGGCGUGGGUAGCAAACAGGAUUAGAUACCCUGGUAGUCCACGCAGUAAACGGUGAUCACUAGGUGUAGCGGGUAUUGACCCCUGCUGUGCCGCAGUUAACGCAUUAAGUGAUCCGCCUGGGGAGUACGGCCGCAAGGUUAAAACUCAAAGGAAUUGACGGGGGCCCGCACAAGCGGCGGAGCAUGUGGUUUAAUUCGACGCAACGCGAAGAACCUUACCUGGGUUUGACAUCUCGGGGAUUUUUUGGAAACAAGAAAGUGCCCUUCGGGGAGCCCGAAGACAGGUGCUGCAUGGCUGUCGUCAGCUCGUGUCGUGAGAUGUUGGGUUAAGUCCCGCAACGAGCGCAACCCUUAUCUUUAGUUACCAUCACUUCGGGUGGGGACUCUAAAGAUACUGCCCCGGUCAACGGGGAGGAAGGUGGGGAUGACGUCAAGUCCUCAUGGCCUUUAUGCCCAGGGCUACACACGUGCUACAAUGGGCGAUACAAAGGGUAGCGAGCCUGCGAAGGUGAGCCAAUCCCAAAAAGUCGUUCUUAGUUCGGAUUGGAGUCUGCAACUCGACUCCAUGAAGCUGGAAUCGCUAGUAAUCGCGGAUCAGCACGCCGCGGUGAAUACGUUCCCGGGCCUUGUACACACCGCCCGUCACACCAUGAGAGUUGGUUGUACCAGAAGUUGUUGGGCUAACCCGCAAGGGAGGCAGGCACCUAAGGUAUGGCUGAUGAUUGGGGUGAAGUCGUAACAAGGUA
rnacentral:rRNA from 1 species